CCUACGGGUGGCAGCAGUGAGGAAUAUUGGUCAAUGGGCGCGAGCCUGAACCAGCCAAGUAGCGUGAAGGAUGACUGCCCUACGGGUUGUAAGCUUCUUUUAUAAAGGAAUAAAGUGAGGCACGUGUGCCUUUUUGCAUGUACUUCAUGAAUAAGGAUCGGCUAACUCCGCGCCAGCAGCCGCGGUAAUACGGAGGUUCCGAGCGUUAUCCGGAUUUAUUGGGUUUAAAGGGCGCGUAGAUGGGUUGUUAAGUCAGUUGUGAAAGUUUGCGGCUCAACCGUAAAAUUGCAAUUGAUACUGGCAGCCUUGAGUACAGUUGAGGUAGGCGGAAUUCGUGGUGUAGCGGUGAAAUGCUUAGAUAUCACGAAGAACUCCGAUUGCGAAGGCAGCUUACUAAACUGCCACUGACAUUGAGGCUCGAAGGUGUGGGUAUCAAACAGGAUUAGAUACCCCAGUAGUC
rnacentral:rRNA from 1 species